rnacentral:rRNA from 1 species
AGAGUUUGAUCAUGGCUCAGAUUGAACGCUGGCGGCAGGCUUAACACAUGCAAGUCGAGCGGAGAUGAGGUGCUUGCACCUUAUCUUAGCGGCGGACGGGUGAGUAAUGCUUAGGAAUCUGCCUAUUAGUGGGGGACAACAUUCCGAAAGGAAUGCUAAUACCGCAUACGUCCUACGGGAGAAAGCAGGGGAUCUUCGGACCUUGCGCUAAUAGAUGAGCCUAAGUCGGAUUAGCUAGUUGGUGGGGUAAAGGCCUACCAAGGCGACGAUCUGUAGCGGGUCUGAGAGGAUGAUCCGCCACACUGGGACUGAGACACGGCCCAGACUCCUACGGGAGGCAGCAGUGGGGAAUAUUGGACAAUGGGGGGAACCCUGAUCCAGCCAUGCCGCGUGUGUGAAGAAGGCCUUAUGGUUGUAAAGCACUUUAAGCGAGGAGGAGGCUACUGAGACUAAUACUCUUGGAUAGUGGACGUUACUCGCAGAAUAAGCACCGGCUAACUCUGUGCCAGCAGCCGCGGUAAUACAGAGGGUGCGAGCGUUAAUCGGAUUUACUGGGCGUAAAGCGUGCGUAGGCGGCUUUUUAAGUCGGAUGUGAAAUCCCCGAGCUUAACUUGGGAAUUGCAUUCGAUACUGGGAAGCUAGAGUAUGGGAGAGGAUGGUAGAAUUCCAGGUGUAGCGGUGAAAUGCGUAGAGAUCUGGAGGAAUACCGAUGGCGAAGGCAGCCAUCUGGCCUAAUACUGACGCUGAGGUACGAAAGCAUGGGGAGCAAACAGGAUUAGAUACCCUGGUAGUCCAUGCCGUAAACGAUGUCUACUAGCCGUUGGGGCCUUUGAGGCUUUAGUGGCGCAGCUAACGCGAUAAGUAGACC